rnacentral:rRNA from 1 species
CCGUACACAAAAGCGCAUGUGCUGUGAGCUCGAUGAGUAGGGCGGGACACGUGGUAUCCUGUCUGAAUAUGGGGGGACCAUCCUCCAAGGCUAAAUACUCCUGACUGACCGAUAGUGAACCAGUACCGUGAGGGAAAGGCGAAAAGAACCCCGGCGAGGGGAGUGAAAAAGAACCUGAAACCGUGUACGUACAAGCAGUGGGAGCACAGGUUUACCUGUGUGACUGCGUACCUUUUGUAUAAUGGGUCAGCGACUUAUAUUCUGUAGCAAGGUUAACCGUAUAGGGGAGCCGUAGGGAAACCGAGUCUUAACCGGGCGUUAAGUUGCAGGGUAUAGACCCGAAACCCGGUGAUCUAGCCAUGGGCAGGUUGAAGGUUGGGUAACACUAACUGGAGGACCGAACCGACUAAUGUUGAAAAAUUAGCGGAUGACCUGUGGCUGGGGGUGAAAGGCCAAUCAAACCGGGAGAUAGCUGGUUCUCCCCGAAAGCUAUUUAGGUAGCGCCUCGUGAAUUCAUCUCCGGGGGUAGAGCACUGUUUCGGCUAGGGGGCCAUCCCGGCUUACCAACCCGAUGCAAACUGCGAAUACCGGAGAAUGUUAUCACGGGAGACACACGGCGGGUGCUAACGUCCGUCGUGAAGAGGGAAACAACCCAGACCGCCAGCUAAGGUCCCAAAGUCAUGGUUAAGUGGGAAACGAUGUGGGAAGGCCCAGACAGCCAGGAUGUUGGCUUAGAAGCAGCCAUCAUUUAAAGAAAGCGUAAUAGCUCACUGGUCGAGUCGGCCUGCGCGGAAGAUGUAACGGGGCUAAACCAUGCACCGAAGCUGCGGCAGCGAACGUAUCACCCAAGACAACUUUACGGAGUUGACGAUUGACGGAGCGAAGCGACGUCAAAGCGUUCAUUAAAGUCGAGUUGGCUUAGGGAUACGUUCGUUGGGUAGGGGAGCGUUCUGUAAGCCUGUGAAGGUGUGUCGUGAGGCAUGCUGGAGGUAUCAGAAGUGCGAAUGCUGACAUAAGUAACGAUAAAGCGGGUGAAAAGCCCGCUCGCCGGAAGACCAAGGGUUCCUGUCCAACGUUAAUCGGGGCAGGGUGAGUCGACCCCUAAGGCGAGGCCGAAAGGCGUAGUCGAUGGGAAACGGGUUAAUAUUCCCGUACUUGGUGUUACUGCGAAGGGGGGACGGAGAAGGCUAUGUUGGCCGGGCGACGGUUGUCCCGGUUUAAGCGUGUAGGUGUGUGUUCCAGGUAAAUCCGGUUCACUUUAACACUGAGGCGUGACGACGAGGCACUACGGUGCUGAAGCAACAAAUGCCCUGCUUCCAGGAAAAGCCUCUAAGCAUCAGGUAACAUCAAAUCGUACCCCAAACCGACACAGGUGGUCAGGUAGAGAAUACCAAGGCGCUUGAGAGAACUCGGGUGAAGGAACUAGGCAAAAUGGUGCCGUAACUUCGGGAGAAGGCACGCUGACACGUAGGUGAAGUGAUUUACUCAUGGAGCUGAAGUCAGUCGAAGAUACCAGCUGGCUGCAACUGUUUAUUAAAAACACAGCACUGUGCAAACACGAAAGUGGACGUAUACGGUGUGACGCCUGCCCGGUGCCGGAAGGUUAAUUGAUGGGGUCAGCGCAAGCGAAGCUCCUGAUCGAAGCCCCGGUAAACGGCGGCCGUAACUAUAACGGUCCUAAGGUAGCGAAAUUCCUUGUCGGGUAAGUUCCGACCUGCACGAAUGGCGUAAUGAUGGCCAGGCUGUCUCCACCCGAGACUCAGUGAAAUUGAACUCGCUGUGAAGAUGCAGUGUACCCGCGGCAAGACGGAAAGACCCCGUGAACCUUUACUAUAGCUUGACACUGAACAUUGAGCCUUGAUGUGUAGGAUAGGUGGGAGGCUUUGAAGUGUGGACGCCAGUCUGCAUGGAGCCGACCUUGAAAUACCACCCUUUAAUGUUUGAUGUUCUAACGUGGACCCGUAAUCCGGGUUGCGGACAGUGUCUGGUGGGUAGUUUGACUGGGGCGGUCUCCUCCUAAAGAGUAACGGAGGAGCACGAAGGUUGGCUAAUCCUGGUCGGACAUCAGGAGGUUAGUGCAAUGGCAUAAGCCAGCUUGACUGCGAGCGUGACGGCGCGAGCAGGUGCGAAAGCAGGUCAUAGUGAUCCGGUGGUUCUGAAUGGAAGGGCCAUCGCUCAACGGAUAAAAGGUACUCCGGGGAUAACAGGCUGAUACCGCCCAAGAGUUCAUAUCGACGGCGGUGUUUGGCACCUCGAUGUCGGCUCAUCACAUCCUGGGGCUGAAGUAGGUCCCAAGGGUAUGGCUGUUCGCCAUUUAAAGUGGUACGCGAGCUGGGUUUAGAACGUCGUGAGACAGUUCGGUCCCUAUCUGCCGUGGGCGCUGGAGAACUGAGGGGGGCUGCUCCUAGUACGAGAGGACCGGAGUGGACGCAUCACUGGUGUUCGGGUUGUCAUGCCAAUGGCACUGCCCGGUAGCUAAAUGCGGAAGAGAUAAGUGCUGAAAGCAUCUAAGCACGAAACUUGCCCCGAGAUGAGUUCUCCCUGAGACUUAGAGUCUCCUGAAGGAACGUUGAAGACGACGACGUUGAUAGGCCGGGUGUGUAAGCGCAGCGAUGCGUUGAGCUAACCGGUACUAAUGAACCGUGAGGCUUAACCUUACA